rnacentral:rRNA from 1 species
AUUGAACGCUGGCGGCAGGCCUAACACAUGCAAGUCGAACGAGUGGCGGACGGGUGAGUAAUGUCUGGGAAACUGCCUGAUGGGGGGGGAUAACUACUGGAAACGGUAGCUAAUACCGCAUACCAUCGGAUGUGCACAGAUGGGAUUAGCUAGUGGGUGGGGUAAAGGCUCACCUAGGCGACGAUCCCUAGCUGGUCUGAGAGGAUGACCCGCCACACGGGAACGGAGAGACGGUCCAGACUCCGACGGGAGGCAGCAGGGGGGAACAUUGGACAAUGGGCGCAAGCCUGAUGCAGCCAUGCCGCGUGUAUGAAGAAGGCCUUCGGGUUGUAAAGUACUUUCAGCGGGGAGGCGUUACCCGCAGAAGAAGCACCGGCUAACUCCGUGCCAGCAGCCGCGGUAAUAC